GCCGAAACGUAACGAAACUAAACGAUCCGUAGCAGAAAAGACCACACACCACAUCGCUCUGAGCAGGCAAAAAUUAAAACAAAGACUGCUUCCCAUCUGCCAUCACAGUAACCCAGUUAAAGCGAGUUAAAUUGUGAUUAACUGCCAAAGACAAGGCACUCAGAAGUCGUCCAAAAGGCAAACAACCAGCAACAAACAACAUGCAACCCACAACAGCGGUGUGAACGGAAUAUAAUGAGCCGGGCCAAAAGAGAAAGUCCCCCUCUGCUCCGCCGGCUAGCCAAGGGAACAACUGCAUCGAAGGUACCGGAGUCGUCGUCUCCGACUCCGUCGGUUAACUGAAAUGCGUGCCAUGACUAGAAACAAUUUAUAAUGCGGCCUGCAGUUGCUUGUCUCGACUCUCCGAAUCGAAACUGGGCCUCCGUCUCCUCCUCCUGCCGACACUUUUCUCUUCCCUUCACCUUCAACGACUCUAAUACUAGCUGCAACUCAAACUCAAACUCACUCAAUCAUUAACAGUCAUGGACGCAAAUUGCUUAGCCAUUCGGGUAUAGAUUGCCAGCUCCUCGGCGGUGGACAGAAAACUUUCGCGCAUAAAUUAGGCUAAUAUAUCUGUGCCCAAAAGGUAGAGCGGCGAAAAUAGUGCAGUCCGGAGAUUACAGUGUUUAGCAGCGAGGGAGGAGGUCAGGAUCUGUGCCUUGUGCUAAUGAUAGCCACAAAGCUGUCGACCCAGGUGGAUAUACUCCAGUUGGCGGAGUGAAGUGGAGGUGUUUUCAGCUAAGUUGGCGGAGCAGCUGGGAUUUUGUGGUAAUUUAGAUUGGUGGCCCAAAGGGGUCGAUGCUAGAGCACUUCGCUGGGGUCUUAAUGUGUCUGUGUAGACCAACGAAUUUUGCGAGAAUAAAGAGCUAUCGAGGUCACUGGCAAGUGAGUUGGGUGCAUCCCAACUAGAUUUAAAGCUAUCCAAAAAUACAAUGUGAAGCU
ensembl:ncRNA lncRNA:CR44775 long non-coding RNA:CR44775